AGAACUGGAGACUGAAGUUCUCUGUUUAUUCACAAAAUAGGUACAGCUUGAGCAGCUGAAUUCCAGGCUUUCCUGCCAACAAACUAGGGGACCAGCACUAGGAGUGAAAACUGGUAAUUCAUGCCAUUUAGUCCUAGGUUUUG
rnacentral:sRNA from 1 species